rnacentral:sRNA from 1 species
CUUAGGCAGAAUGCUAACAAGAAAUGCAACUGAAAAAUUUCUAAAGAAACAUAGUGUCUCUCAAUCUCUCAGACUACUAAAAAACCAUGGGCCCCAAAUAAACGAGAAUUUCCCCAGGAACCUCAUACUGGAAGGAAAAGUUCAGCUGUGAAAAAAAGAGAUUUCAUACAAUUUUAACAACUGGUCAGAUCACCUCACAGGAUGAAGUGGAGGCUUAGACAAGGGUGGGUCAGUGGUGAUAGGACCACACCUUGACCUGACUGCUUAGGUGAGAAUAUCCCUAACUCUCUGUUUAAACUUUAAUCGUCGCCCUCUGGAGGAAGUCCCCCUGUUGAGUCUUAAUUAUUAAUUCAGUUCUUUCAGUCGGUUUAUUCAGGGUGGGUGACUGAACCUGACUUGGGGAACAGGUUGUAACUUAAGUUCAAUCCCAGUCGGACCCUUAACUGGGAUCAGAACUGCAGGCUCCGGCUGGUGCGGCAUGCUCAGGGGAUGCGUCUAGAAAGAGGUCCCUGGGCCUCCUGGAAGUUGGGAUACGCAGCGUCAUUACUGAAAAGGCAGAUAUGAUGGCCCAACCUACGGUCCUCUGACAUCUGGUUGGAGAUUAGGAGAAUAGAGAGGCAAAUGUUGAGUAAAAUGGGAGUUAGGAUCCGGAAGAUAGAGCGAAGUGAUGGUUAAACUGCCCCAGUAAAGCUAGCUCCUGGGGCCGGAGGCUCAGUUCCUGCCUCAAGUCUGUCUAGAGAUCUGGGCAUAAGCUCGGGUUAGGAGAACAGCUUCCAGCUGUUUUCUGUCAGCCCAAGGCAGUGGUCAAAGCCUGAGAUCUGUCUGGACUUUGCAAUCCUGGAAGGCUUUACUGCAGACCAAAGAGCUGCCAGGAGGCCCCAGAAAUGCCUGAGAACAAAGAGGCUGUAAACACACGCUGAAACCUUUUACCAACUGGCUGUGGCCCAAACCAAAAUGAGAAAUGAAUUGCUGAGCAAAGGUGCCACUGAUGAGCCCUGAGGACAUUAAAACCCAGAACACAUAAACCAGGAUGAGAAAUUAAUCAGAAGAUGAAAGAUGGCGGCUUCAGGGACACUGGCUGAGCCUUCUGCAUGCUCCUGGGACCUCAUUUCAGACCAGCAGUACCAUCCCGUGCUGUGAUGAUGACUUAUAUGUAGACAUCACCUCUGCUGGUGGACAGCCUUCUGAUCUGCUGAGUCCCUUCACAGCAAAUCAAAGAAAACAUGACAAAACGCCAUAAACCCAUGCCUUCCCCUGUGUGUCACAGCCUGGUGGCUGGAACAGUUUGUUCAAAAAGAUCAAAGAGGACUGGA